GUAGAGUAGAUAUUGCGCGUUAAGUGUCAUGGAAUGGGAAGUUGUCCAUGAACGAAGGUGUCCGGGUUUCCAGGAUUUUCCACGAUGCAAUAUUGCGUCCGCUA
rnacentral:ncRNA from 1 species